AAGGUAUAGCUUUAUUUCAAUAUUAACUUUCCAACUUAUGAAAGUUGGAAAUUAACGUGUCUUUUCUUUGCUGAUAUAUCUGGAGCUCAUAUAAAUUAUGUAAAAGAGGGAAAGGGUGACUUUUUCAAUAGGAUUGAAUUGUAAACUACAAACACUUUCUUUUUGGGGAUGAAACUGCAAGUUUUGUCACAAAGUAUGAUCAUCUAGUUCACCAAGUUGACUGAUGUCUAUGUUUUUUCAGUGUUGUAGAUGAUAGCAAUCCGGAUAGUGUAGAAGCCACAAGUGCAGGUACGCUUUAUUUUUUAUCCUCUUAAAUGAUUAAAAACGCAGAUGCCUUUAUGGUUUAGGUUUGCGUAGUUGCUUCUGAAUUUGGUAAAUAGCCUUGUAAUUUUCAUUUAAAAAGGCUCUUUUCCGUGAUCUUUCUUAAUAUCACAAACGCUAAUGUAGAAGGUGCUUGGCAAAAUCUUUCUUGAUUGACUUCGCUUAUAUGUAGUAAUAGGUCUCUCUCUUUCCCUCCCCCCUUCCCCUCCCCCAAAACAACAAAUGUAUCAAUCAAAAAGGGUGCUUUCUAUGAAAAAUUUCAAAAUACGAAAUCAGUAUGGUAAAAGUGGCUGGCAUAUAACCAUGGCCCUUCACCAUUUGUCAAACCUGUUUACCACUGCAAGCAGAAACUCGAUAAUUGUUUUCUAGUUAGGUUGAAGAAUACAGCACUUAUUUUGCUUUUGUGGAUUUCUAGUUGCUUAAAAAAUCCAGGAGUAUGACUCCAGAGCCUGGUCAGAAGAACUUUUAGAUAUUCAAAAUUAAUUCAUGGAUAUAAUUGAAUAGUAGAAGCAAAUGCCUGUGACCUUAAGCUGGCUUUAUGUUCCUGUGCAAUUUUAUGCUUCCAGUUCAGUAUUUUCACUAAAUUGCAGAUAAGUGGUUAUCGAAAUUCAAGUUUCAGUUUAUUUUCUUUUGUUGGCUUAGCAACCUCAAAGAGCACGUCUGUUAAUCUAUCAGUUGUCAACCUUUCCUAAUCUUCCUUUUUUGUUCAGAU
rnacentral:lncRNA from 1 species